GCAAGCCCAGGGGCUGCUGCGACUGGGACUCUGGGAGUUUCUCAUUUGUCAAGGAGGCCCCGGGGGGCCUGAGCUGAGGGAAAGUAUUAAAAGCAAACAAACAACAAAACAGCAGUGAAGAGGCAUGAAACGGAUUAAAGAGGACUGCCCCAGGCUGUCAGAACCACUCUGCCUGUAACCACCCAGAACAGGAAGUGCCUGGAAAUUUAUGUCCUCCAAGGACUGGCGGUGCAGAGCAACCCUAGCGGGGAACAAAAUGGUUGAAGAAACAGGAUGUUUAUCCCAGCAGCUGGCCGACACCGGGGGACAGGUGCCUUGGCUUUCAAUUUCAGAAGGGUUGUCCUGCGAGAGAGUUUCAUCAGAGGAUGAAAACAAUUAUAUUUUGAAAUAGCAGCUAUAUGGUCUGUUCUAGAAGAGAGUAAGUAGCAGAAAAAAGAUACAGUGUUGGUUUCAGGUCUGACCCUGCCACCAGCUUCCAUGCAACCCCAAGUAAGUUCUGCCUCUGAGCCUUGGUCUACCCAUCUGUGUUCUCUGUGGACAUGCCCUCUGAUCCCACAGGCCCUGCGGACCAUACCAGCCUGGUUUCUUUCCUUAUUCCCAUCACAUUUCUCCAGCAUGACUGCCCUGAGUUUCUGGAACAUGGCCUGGUAAGGAUGUAGAAACCAGUGUGUCUCCCUGGUUCUCCUGCCUGUGGACGUGGGAGCAAAGAGGAUGAAGCAGGGCCCUGAGACCAGGCCCACGGGACUCAUCAUG